rnacentral:rRNA from 1 species
CCCUUAGAUGUUCUGGGCCGCACACGCGCUACACUGAAGGAGGCAGCGUGUACUCCUGGAUCGAAAGAUUUGGGUAACCCGCGAAUCUCCUUCGUGCUAGGGAUUGAGGUUUGCAAUUAUCCUUCAUGAACUAGGAAUUCCCAGUAAGUGCAAGUCAUAAGCUUGCGCUGACUACGUCCCUGCCCUUUGUACACACCGCCCGUCGCUACUACCGAUUGAAUGAUUUAGUGAGGACUUCGGACUGGGACCGAUGCGGCUUUCGGGCUGCGUCGGUAUUCUGGAAAGAUGUCCAAACUGUAUCAUUUAGAGGAAGUAAAAGUCGUAACA